CUGCCCAAUGACAACAUAGUUCAAUGGCCGCGGUACCCUGACCGUGCAAAGGUAGCAUAAUCACUUGCCCCUUAAUUAGGGGCUGGCAUGAAAGGACACACGAAAGCUUCCCUGUCUCACAAUAACAAAUAAAAAUUAAUCUUCAAGUGAAAAAGCUUGAAUAAAAUUGCAGGACAAGAAGACCCCGUUGAGCUUUAUUCUCUAUAGACUAAAUCAAAUAUUAAAUACAUCAUAAACCUAAAAAGAAUUUAGUUGGGGUGACUAAGGAACACCGAAAACUUCCUUUUAUUAAUUAGGAUCAUUCUCCAUACAAAUUGACCCAUUACACAUGAUCAAAAAAAUAAGCUACCACAGGGAUAACAGGCUAAUCUUUCUCAAGAGCCCAAAUUGUCAGAAAGGAUUGGCACCUCGAUGUUGGCUUAGGGGCCCCUAAUGGUGCAGAAGCCAUAAAUGG
rnacentral:rRNA from 1 species